AUUGAACGCUGGCGGCAUGCUUUACACAUGCAAGUCGAACGGUAACAGGCCGCAAGGUGCUGACGAGUGGCGAACGGGUGAGUAAUGCAUCGGAACGUGCCCAGUCGUGGGGGAUAACGCAGCGAAAGCUGUGCUAAUACCGCAUACGAUCUAUGGAUGAAAGCGGGGGACCGAAAGGCCUCGCGCGAUUGGAGCGGCCGAUGUCAGAUUAGCUAGUUGGUAGGGUAAAAGCCUACCAAGGCGACGAUCCAUAGCUGGUCUGAGAGGAUGAUCAGCCACACUGGGACUGAGACACGGCCCAGACUCCUACGGGAGGCAGCAGUGGGGAAUAUUGGACAAUGGGCGAAAGCCUGAUCCAGCAAUGCCGCGUGAGUGAUGAAGGCCUUAGGGUUGUAAAGCUCUUUUACCCGGGAUGAUAAUGACAGUACCGGGAGAAUAAGCUCCGGCUAACUCCGUG
rnacentral:rRNA from 1 species